AUUGAACGCUGGCGGCAUGCCUUACACAUGCAAGUCGAACGGCAGCACGGGUGCUUGCCCCUGGUGGCGAGUGGCGAACGGGUGAGUAAUACAUCGGAACAUGUCCUGUAGUGGGGGAUAGCCCGGCGAAAGCCGGAUUAAUACCGCAUACGAUCUACGGAUGAAAGCGGGGGACCUUCGGGCCUCGCGCUAUCGGGUUGGCCGAUGGCUGAUUAGCUAGUUGGUGGGGUAAAGGCCUACCAAGGCGACGAUCAGUAGCUGGUCUGAGAGGACGACCAGCCACACUGGGACUGAGACACGGCCCAGACUCCUACGGGAGGCAGCAGUGGGGAAUUUUGGACAAUGGGCGAAAGCCUGAUCCAGCAAUGCCGCGUGUGUGAAGAAGGCCUUCGGGUUGUAAAGCACUUUUGUCCGGAAAGAAAUCCUUGGCCCUAAUACGGUCGGGGGAUGACGGUACCGGAAGAAUAAGCACCGGCUAACUACGU
rnacentral:rRNA from 1 species